UAGGGAAUCUUCCACAAUGGACGCAAGUCUGAUGGAGCAACGCCGCGUGAGUGAAGAAGGUUUUCGGAUCGUAAAGCUCUGUUGUUGGUGAAGAAGGAUAGAGGCAGUAACUGGUCUUUAUUUGACGGUAAUCAACCAGAAAGUCACGGCUAACUACGUGCCAGCAGCCGCGGUAAUACGUAGGUGGCAAGCGUUGUCCGGAUUUAUUGGGCGUAAAGCGAGCGCAGGCGGAAUGAUAAGUCUGAUGUGAAAGCCCACGGCUCAACCGUGGAACUGCAUCGGAAACUGUCAUUCUUGAGUGCAGAAGAGGAGAGUGGAAGUCCAUGUGUAGCGGUGGAAUGCGUAGAUAUAUGGAAGAGCACCAGUGGCGAAGGCGGCUCUCUGGUCUGCAACUGACGCUGAGGCUCGAAAGCAUGGGUAGGGAACAGG
rnacentral:rRNA from 1 species